rnacentral:lncRNA from 1 species
AUGCGAAUGGGGAUCUCGACUAAUUCACCAUUUUUGACUAUGGUGUUACUGUCAUCACUACCAAAAGAGCGGCUCUUAGCCACGACAGCAGAAACCGUGGCUAAAUCAAGAAAAAAAUAUGUUGUUCCCCACACAAAACAAAUAGACUCUAAAAUACCGUGGCCAAAAUAGGUGCGCACUAAAUUUCACUUCCUCCCUUAAAUUUUUUUCAUUUGCCCCCAUU